UCCUUCUUAGCUCAAUUGGUAGAGCGUGUCACUACGCUUAGUUCUGGUUCCUGAAAAUAGAAAUGCUGUCUUAGUAUGACAAGGUUAGCCGUUCAAAUCGGCUAGAAGGAG